rnacentral:rRNA from 1 species
AUGACGUCGGCAAUCCCACCCCGAACCCAGCCCCCCGGGGGGCAGCUGGGCGUGCCGGCGGCUCCUUUUCCUCGCGGCUGGCCCACCCUCAACCUCCCACCUCCAUCUAUCCUCUCUUUUCAUCUGGGCCUCCCUCGGUCCUCUCUUUUUCUCUCUCCUCUCCUGAGAUCGACCAUGGAGAAGUCCUGUUCGAGGAGCUGGCCGAGGACGCUGAGCGGGAGCUGCUGCGGGCGGUGCAGGGCACCUUCCUGUGCCGCUCCACCGCCGAGCGCUUGCGCCGGGACGUCGAGCCGCCGCCGCCCCUCGUGCAGCAGAAUGGCCGCCACGCGCUCCGGAGCAACGCCGAGCUGGGCGAGCUCGCCGUGCAACUCAGGGAGCCGCUCGACCUCGCGUGUCGUGCCGCCGCCGCCCUACGCUAGAACGUCUACCGCCCGUCUCCCUGCUCGCCGCCUACUCGCCGCCGUGCCGCGUCUCGUCUCCUGUCUUGCACUCCCCACCUAUUUUGCCUCCCUGCGCUCCGCCGGAGUGGUCGCCCGCGGGAUCUUCUUCGAGUACGCCACGCCGUCCAAGUGUCGCGAGUGCCUGCUGCCGCGGCCAGGAAGCUCGCCGACGCCUGCGACCGGCGUCGGCGUCUGGAUGGACGGCUUCCGCGCGCGCGUCAUCACCGGCGCCAACGCGCUCGCCACCACCUCGUCGUUCGAGCUGCAAAGCCAUAGCGGGCGGGGGCAGCAGCGGAGGGCGGCUGGGUGCGUGCGUGCGCUGGCCGUGACCCGGCAUCCAGCGGAGGACAGCAGCGGGCGGGGGCAGCAGCGGAGCCCAGGGAGGCGAAGCAGCAGAGGGCGGCACGGUGCGUGCGUUCACGCGUGUGGCGGCAGCAGCGGAGAGCGGCCACGGCCAGACGCGGUGGAGGCGACACGUUCGACGGCCCCGCGGCCUCGGACGGGGCGGCGCGGUGAGGAGGACGGCCACGCCUGGGGGUGGAAACGGCUGGAGAUUGUUUCAUUCCAAGUUCAAAAUUCGCGCCGGCAGCCCCCCAAGCGGCGAAAGAAAUGUCUCCCAGAGGGCUCAACGGCUGGAGAUGCUCUAAGACACUUUGGAUAA